rnacentral:rRNA from 1 species
CUUAUCCUUUGUUGCCAGCGAUUAGGUCGGGAACUCAAAGGAGACUGCCAGUGAUAAACUGGAGGAAGGUGGGGAUGACGUCAAGUCAUCAUGGCCCUUACGACCAGGGCUACACACGUGCUACAAUGGCGCAUACAAAGAGAAGCGACCUCGCGAGAGCAAGCGGACCUCAUAAAGUGCGUCGUAGUCCGGAUUGGAGUCUGCAACUCGACUCCAUGAAGUCGGAAUCGCUAGUAAUCGUGGAUCAGAAUGCCACGGUGAAUACGUUCCCGGGCCUUGUACACACCGCCCGUCACACCAUGGGAGUGGGUUGCAAAAGAAGUAGGUAGCUUAACCUUCGGGAGGGCGCUUACCACUUUGUGAUUCAUGACUGGGGUGAAGUCGUAACAAGGUAACCGUAGGGGAACCUGCGGUUGGAUCACCUCCUU